rnacentral:lncRNA from 10 species
UGGAGCGGGCCGGCGGUGCAGUCACGGGGGAGCGAGGCCUGCUGGGCUUGGCAACGAGGGACUCGGCCUCGGAGGCGACCCAGACCACACAGACACUGGGUCAAGGAGUAAGCAGAGGAUAAACAACUGGAAGGAGAGCAAGCACAAAGUCAUCAUGGCUUCAGCGUCUGCUCGUGGAAACCAAGAUAAAGAUGCCCAUUUUCCACCACCAAGCAAGCAGGUAUACUUUUAUAUUUAUUGAUCGAUUCAUUGAUUGAGACACGAUCUCACACUGUCACCCAGACUGGAGUGCAGUGGUGCAGUCAUGGCUCACUGCAGUCUCGAACUGCUGGAUUAAGUGAUCCUCCUACUUGAGCUUCUCACUUAACUGGGAUGACAGGUGCAGGCCCACAUGCCUGGCUAAUUUUUUUUGUGGUUAGACAUGAGGUCUCACUAUAUUGCCCAAGCUGGUCUCAAACACCUGGCCUCAAUUAAUCCUCCUAUCUAGGCCUGCCAAAGUGCUGGGAUUACAGGCGUGAGCCACCAUGCCUGGUCAGGUAUACUUUUAAUUGCAGGACCUGCCAUCUG